CACCCGUCUCGGCCUCCCAAAGUGCUGGGAUUACAGGCUUGAGCCACCGCGCCCGGCAUAAUCUUCUUAAUGUGACAACUUUCCAUUUCAAACAGGCAGGCACUGAGACAUCAAAGCAGCCAAGUGCCGCCCUGACGUUGAGCCCGCCGAGUGCUGCGAGGCUGCUGCUGUUGGCUCUGCGUGAUCAGGGGAGUGGAGAUCAAAGGUUUUCGUUAUGUGCUGAAAUACCCAAAGUUGGAAAACACCACAAGAAAGCCAUGGUCAGCCUGGCGAGAGGACCCUGCCAGCUGCACACCCAGGGGGGACUGCUCAGGCAGCUCCACAUGCUGCCAGCCUUGCGCGAAAGGUGAGCUUGUGAUUUCCAUUUACAGUAGGUGCCACUUCAUGUUGUGACCCCAGGUGGCCCCAGUCACCCAGUAUCCUCCCUUGAGCCCCUUGCAGGCUCCACUCCCAUCAAUGGGCACUUCCUCUUGC
rnacentral:lncRNA from 1 species